CUUUUUAAAAAUAGUAGCUAGCUACCAUACUACCAUAACAUAGACAUUAAUACAUGCCACCCAAUAAAUAUUUAUGUAAGGUAAUAUAAACUCAAAAGAUUCACAAUAAACUUAUAUAUACCUACCGUUACUAGGGUACUAGUUAGACCCUGCAGCCUUUUUUGCAUGAAUCGAGCUUUUUCUUGUCCUUAUAGAAUACUUCACAAAAAUUGACACACUGUUUUAGUUCAAAGCAUUUAUCAUAGCAGUUCAUCUUCCCUUUUUCGUCUUUCUCAUAGUGUUUAUAACAGUUUCUGAAACAUACAUUCAUAUCAGACACAUCAUGAUAAGUUGGAAGCCAAGGUUGUGGUUGCUUAGCCCGAGGUCGUUGACGAAUAGCGUCAGAAAAGUCAGCAACGGUAGAACAAAUAAUCACUCCGAUCAUCAAUAUUACUAGUAGUGCAUAAGG
rnacentral:lncRNA from 1 species